UACGUAGGACCCAAGCGUUAUCCGGAGUGACUGGGCGUAAAGAGUUGCGUAGGCGGUGAUUUAAGCGAGGAGUGAAAUAUGAUGGCUCAACCAUCAAAACAUUUCUCGAACUGAAUCACUCGAGUAUGGUAGAGGUAGCUGGAAUUUCUAGUGUAGGAGUGAAAUCCGUAGAUAUUAGAAGGAACACCAAUGGCGUAGGCAGGCUACUGGACCAUUACUGACGCUGAGGCACGAAAGCGUGGGGAGCGAACCGG
rnacentral:rRNA from 1 species